rnacentral:misc_RNA from 1 species
GAACGCACAUUGCGCCCCCUGGUAUUCCGGGGGGCAUGCCUGUUCGAGCGUCAUUUCACCACUCAAGCCUCGCUUGGUAUUGGGCGUCGCGGGUCCCCCGCGCGCCUCAAAGUCUCCGGCUGAGCGGUUCGUCUCCCAGCGUUGUGGCAACUAUUUCGCAGUGGAGUUCGAGUCGUCGCGGCCGUUAAAUCUUUCAAAGGUUGACCUCGGAUCAGGUAGGGAUACCCGCUGAACUUAAG